rnacentral:rRNA from 1 species
UACGGGGGGUGCGAGCGUUGUCCGGAAUCACUGGGCGUAAAGGGCGCGUAGGUGGUCUGAUAAGGGUGUGGUGAAAGUCCGGGGCUCAACCCCGGAUCUGCCGUGCCGACUGUCAGACUCGAGGACUGUAGAGGCAGGCGGAAUUCCGGGUGUAGCGGUGGAAUGCGUAGAGAUCCGGAGGAAGACCGGUGGCGAAGGCGGUCUGCUGGGCAGUUCUGACACUGAGGCGCGACAGCGUGGGGAGCAAACAGG